rnacentral:rRNA from 1 species
AUGAACGCUGGCGGCGUGCCUUAAGCAUGCAAGUCGAACGGGUUUUUGAGUCGCAAGAUUUAAAUUUCAGUGGCGGACGGGUGAGUACAAGCAAGGAACGUACCCUAAACUAUCGCAUAGCUCGUCGAAAGACGGGGUAAUACGGUAUGUGGACGUAAGUCUAAAGUCGCAAGACGGUUUUGGAGCGGCCUUGUUCCUAUCAGCUAGUUGGUGGGGUAAUAGCCUACCAAGGCGAUGACGGGUAGGGGGCGUGAGAGCGCGACCCCCCACAAUGGCACUGAGACACGGGCCAUACAUCUACGGAUGGCAGCAACUGGGUAUAUUCGGCAAUGGACGAAAGUCUGACCGAGCGACGCCGCGUGAAGGAUGAAGGUUUUCGGAUCGUAAACUUCUUUUGCCAAGAAAUCGAAGCUUGGCGAAUAAGCAUCUACAAACUACGUGCCAGCAGUCGCGGUAAUACGUAGGAUGCAAGCGUUAUCCGGAUUCACUGGGCGUAAAGUGUCGUGUAGGUGGUUUGCCGCAUCGUACUUGAAAGCCCGAGGCUUAACCUCGGCGUUGGGUACGAGAUGGGUAGACUGGAGGGAGGCAGAGGAAAGGGGAACUCAUGGUGAAGCAGUGAAAUGCGUUGAUAUCAUGAGGAACACCAAAGGCGUAGGCACCUUUCUGGGCCUCUCCUGACACUGAGACACGAAAGCUAGGGGAGCGAAGCAGAUUAGAUACCUGCGUAGUCCUAGCCCUAAACGCAUGUCUGCUAGAUGCCCCGCUCGUAAAGUUGAUGAUACAUAUCGUCACUUUUGCGAGUGGGGUGUCGUAAGCUAACGCGUUAAGCAGACCGCCUGGGGAGUACGAUCGCAAGAUUAAAACUCAAAGGAAUUGACGGGGACCCGCACAACCGGUGGAGCGUGUGGUUCAAUUCGAGACAAAGCGAAGGACCUUACCAAGUUUUGACAUAUUACCGUACAUUUUUCUGGAAACAGAGAGAAAUCCGCAAGGAUGGUAGUACAGCAGCUGCAUGGCUGUCGUCAGCUCGUGCCGUGGGGUGUUCCCUUAAGUGGGAGAACGAGCGCAACCCGUAUCCAAUGUUACAAGUGUCAUUGGAGACUGCCCUGAUUAUUCUCAGGGAGGAAGGAACGGACGACGUCAAGUCAGCACGGCGCUUAUAACUUGGGAUACACACACCCUACAAUGGCGAAAAACAAUGAGAAGCUAGGCCGUAAGGUCAUGCAAAUCUCCUGCAAAUUUCGCCUCAGUUCAGAUUGAGGUCUGCAACCCGACCUCAUGAAGUCGGAAUCGGUAGUAAUCGCAGAUCAGCAGGCUGCGGUGAAUACGUUCUCGGGUCUUGUACACACCGCCCGUCAAGCCAACAAAGUUGGAGGCGGCCGAAGAGCCAUCUAGUAUGGAGCUAAGCCGAAUUCAGCGAUGGGGACU